UAGGGAGCGUUUGACAGUGAUGAGGGGUGGUCGUUUGACAGCGGCUCCGUAGCGGAUACAGGCAAUGAGGCAGUGAUCGCUGAGAUCCUGGUUGAAGACAGCAGAGGUGUAUUUGGAGGGCCAGUUGGUCAGGAUGACGUCUAUGAGGGUGCCCUUGUUUACAGAUUUAAGGUUGUACCUGGUGGGUUCCUUGAUGAUUUGUGUGAGAUUGAGGGCAUCUAUCUUAGAUUGUAGGACUGCCGAGGUGUUAAGCAUAUCCCAGUUUAGGUCACCUAACAGAACAAACUCUGAAGCUAGAUGGGGGGCGAUCAAUUCACAAAUGGUGUCCAGGGCACAGCUGGGAGCUGAGGGGGUCGGUAGCAGGCGGCAACAGUGAGAGACUUAUUUCUGGAGAGAGUAAUUUUCAAAAUUAGUAGUUCGAACUGUUUGGGUAUGGACCUGGAAAGUAUGACAUUACUUUGCAGGCUCUCUCUGCAGUAAACUGCAACUCCUCCCCCUUUGGCAGUUCUAUCUUGACGGAAGAUGUUAUAGUUGGGUAUAGAAAUCUCAGAAUUUUUGGUGGCCUUCCUGAGCCAGGAUUCAGACACGGCAAGGACAUCAGGGUUAGCAGAGUGUGCUAAAGCAGUGAGUAAAACAAACUUAGGGAGGAGGCUUCUGAUGUUGACAUGCAUGAAACCAAGGCUUUUUCGAUCACAGAAGUCAACAAAUGAGGGUGCCUGGGUAAGCCCAGGCACUGGGUGAUGAUGAGAGAGGUUGUAUCUCUGGACAUGCUGGUUGUAAUGGGUGAGGUCACCGCAUGUGUGGGAGGUGGGACAAAGGAGGUAUCAGGGGUAUGAAGAGUGGAACUAGGGGCUCCAUUGUUAACUAAAACAAUGAUAACUAACCUGAACAACAGUAUACAGUAUAUUAUAGUGAAUGUCGUUGACAUUUUAAGCAAUUAUGAUAUUUCUUUGUUCUAUGUUUUUAUAAUUGAUUUAAGAUAUUUUGCUGACUUGAGGCUUUGUCAGUGAAUUCCAACAAUGUCCAGCCACUCAUGGUUUUUUCACUGUUUAUUGAUGCUGAAAUAAAGCUAUUUGUGCAAUCUAUUCACAGGUUCAACAUGUUGAGAGUUAGGACAUGCUGCAUUUCUUGUAUGGUUACAUUAAAAUAAAGAGUUU
ensembl:lncRNA